AUACGUAGGGGGCGAAGCGUUGUCCGGAAUUACUGGGCGUAAAGGGUGCGUAGGCGGCGCUUUAAGUCAGAUGUGAAAUACCCAGGCUUAACCUGGGGGGUGCAUUUGAAACUGGAGCACUUGAGUGCAGGAGAGGAAAGUGGAAUUCCUAGUGUAGCGGUGAAAUGCGUAGAUAUUAGGAGGAACACCAGUGGCGAAGGCGACUUUCUGGACUGUAACUGACGCUGAGGCACGAAAGCGUGGGGAGC
rnacentral:rRNA from 1 species